rnacentral:rRNA from 1 species
UACGUAGGAGACGAGCGUUGUCCGGAAUUACUGGGCGUAAAGCGCGUGUAGGCGGAUGGGCAAGUCUGCUGUGAAAGCUCCUGGCUUAACCGGGAGUGGUCGGUGGAAACUGCCAAUCUGGAGGACGGUAGAGGUAGGUAGAAUUCCCGGUGUAGCGGUGGAAUGCGCAGAUAUCAGGAGGAACACCGGUGGCGAAGGCGGUUCUCUGGGCCUUACCUGACGCUGAGGAGCGAAAGCGUGGGGAGCAAACAGG